UUCUUAUAAUAAAUGCAACAAUAGCUUAAGAAUAGAGCAUUGGUCUUGUAAGCCAAAGGUGAAUGUAUUAUUUCUUGUUGCU
rnacentral:tRNA from 1 species